CUCUCUCUCUCACUCUACUGCGAAACAGUGGUGGCGUGCACCAUCAGCGUCGCUUCUCUCUUUCUCACUCCACUGUGAUUCAGUGGUCUACGGAGAGUGUUGGUCCGCUUUCUCCCUCCGCGGUGAAUCAGUGGCCAAGAUCUGCUAAAUAGAUGUUAAGUAAUUAAUUGUGGAGAAGAAAAAAAUGUUUGCUCAGGCGAUGAAAAUGGCCAAAAAUGAGGGGGUAGUGGGUGAAGAAGAAAGGACUUUUGAAUUAAUUUUUUUUAAAAAAAUAUUUUUUUUAUAAUUUUUUAUUUUUUUUAACCUAAAAAAGUUAUUCACUCGCCUUAAGAGGCGUGGAGUUACACACUUUUGCCAACUCAGACAUUCUAAUGCCACAUAAGUCUGUUCAAUGGUCAGAUAGAUUUGUUAAAUUAUGUUUUAUUGAGUAUAAGGGUUCAAUUGACAAAUGAUUAAGUAGAAAGGUUCAGAAUACAAACUGAUACAAGUAUAAGGGUCCACCAGACCAUUUUUCCAAAAAGGAAUGAGGCAGCCGACAUAGAAAAGUGAUCCCUGAGUUGGGCCCACACAAUUCAACAAAACAGUAGUAAUUUUUUAUAGGACAUAUGAGUCAUUAUGUAAAUGUUAAUUGGUUUUUUGGGAUACCUUUAAAGCAAGUGAUUACAAAGGCUUAAUGAAGGAAAAAGUAGAAAAUUCCAAAAAUACCCUUGUCUGCAAGCAGGCAUGUUGACACGAGAUUACAAAAGCUUAAUGAAGGAAAAAGUAGAAAAUUCCAAAAAUACCCUUGUCAUACAAGCAGGAAUGUUGACGAAGACAUGUCUGCUUGUAUACUCUUCUACUAUAUAUGUCACGCCCCUUUUCCGUCCGGCGGAAGGGUUUUUCCAAUUUAAGUGAGAAUAUUGAAUAGAGAUUGCUUUUUGUUUUCAGAGUCGCCACUUGGAAUUGAGUUAUGGUGUUCCAAGUCACCUUUAUGUUUAAUCUCUAAUCAAAAGAAAAUGAGUCUUUAUAUUGUCUGCGAACUAGAAAUUCGGGUAAGAAAUUUUGUUGACCGAGGAAAAAGUAUUAUGCAUCCCUCGAGUCCCGUGGUUCUAGCACGGUCACUUUUAUUGACUUAUACUUACUUUAAAAUAUUUUUGGAUAUAUUAUUUUCAGGCCAUGACUUGUUCGCAGUUUUAUUGUUGAACUUUUAUUUGGUCUCAAAUCGGAUGCAUAACUGCAUUCUCGACUUUUGACAUAUAAAUAGCAUAAGAGCAUAACUGCUUUCUUCUCUCGAGUGCAUCACCUAAUUUUAUCUAUAAGUAAUCUUAUUUUAAAUUAAUGAAAAUUAUUAUAUUUUGGACAAGGUGCGUCACCGCAUCCUUGAGUUUUUGUCAAUAUCUCAAAAAAGAUGCGCAACCGCCUUCUUAAUCGAAAACAAAUAUUUUUAAUGUGCAUAAAACUCAUCUAGUAUUAAAAGUACACUUGUUCGCAGUUUUAUUGUUGAACUUUUAUUUGGUCUCAAAUCGGAUGCAUAACUGCAUUCUCGACUUUUGACAUAUAAAUAGCAUAAGAGCAUAACUGCUUUCUUCUCUCGAGUGCAUCACCUAAUUUUAUCUAUAAGUAAUCUUAUUUUAAAUUAAUGAAAAUUAUUAUAUUUUGGACAAGGUGCGUCACCGCAUCCUUGAGUUUUAUUUUUCAAUGUCUCAAAAAAGAUGCGCAACUGCAUUCUUAAUCGAAAACAAAUGUUUUUAAUGUGCAUAAAACUCAUCUAGUAUUAAAAGUACUUACUCUUAUUUUUCUGAAUUCUAGACAACUAAUCUUCUCAUUUCAUUAUUAUAUUAAUUGAUGAUUCUUUUAAUUAAAUUAAUCCUCAUGUCAAAUGUUUUUUCAUAAAGUUACAUCAAAUUCCAUAAAUAGAGCAAAGAGAUAAAGUAAUGUUUAACCUUAAGUAAAGAGAAUAUGUACCGCAAAAUCUUGACUGAAGCUCGAUUAGAAAACCCACUAAUAUUUUGUUUGGUGUGUGGUGUUGGAUUUUGGUAGUGUGGGAUUUUUUUGGGUUUUUUGUCUCUGUACGUCGGAGUGUGUUUUGUUGAUCUUUUGUUUUUCUUUUCAAGUGGUGAGGGUGUAGGGUUUUUCGUAUGUGUUUUUUUUUUUUGCAGAUUUUUCUUCUUUUUUUUUUUCGUGUGGGUGUGUUGUGUAUUUUUGUAGUCC
rnacentral:lncRNA from 1 species